AUUGAACGCUGGCGGCAGGCCUAACACAUGCAAGUCGAACGAGUGGCGGACGGGUGUGUAAUGUCUGGGAAACUGCCUGAUGGAGGGGGAUAAUUACUGGAAACGGUAGCUAAUACCGCAUACCAUCAGAUGUGCCCAGAUGGGAUUAGCUUGUUGGGGGGGUAACGGCUCACCAAGGCGACGAUCCCUAGCUGGUGUGAGAGGAUGACGAGCCACGCUGGAACUGAGACAGGGUCCAGACUCCUACGGGAGGCAGCAGUGGGGAAUAUUGCAAAAUGGGGGAAAGCCUGCUGCAGCCAUGCCGCGUGUAUGAAGAAGGCCUUCGGGUUGUAAAGUACUUUCAGCGGGGAGGCGUUACCCGCAGAAGAAGCACCGGCAAACUCCGUGCCAGCAGCCGCGUAAUUC
rnacentral:rRNA from 1 species